rnacentral:rRNA from 1 species
CGGGGGCCCGCACAAGCGGUGGAGCAUGUGGUUUAAUUGAUGCAACGCGAAGACCUUACUCUCUUGACAUCCAGCGAAUCCUUUAGAGAUAGAGGAGUGCCUUCGGGAACCUGAGACAGGUCUGCAUGGCUGUCGUCAGCUCGUGUUGUGAAAUGUUGGGUUAAGUCCCGCAACGAGCGCAACCCUUAUCCUUUGUUCCAGCGCGUAUGGGGGAACUCAAAGGAGCUGCCGGUGAUAAACCGGAGGAAGGUGGGGAUGACGUCAAGUCAUCAUGGCCCUUACGAGUAGGGCUACACACGUGCUACAAUGGCAGAUACAAAGAGAAGCGACCUCGCGAGAGCAAGCGGAACUCAUAAAGUCUGUCGUAGUCCGGAUUGGAGUCUGCAACUCGACUCCAUGAAGUCGGAAUCGCUAGUAAUCGUAGAUCAGAAUGCUACGGUGAAUACGUUCCCGGGCCUUGUACACCCCGUCACACCAUGGGAGGGGUUGCAAAAGAAGU